UUUUUUUUUUUUUUGAGGCAGGGUCUCACUGUAUUGUCCAGGCUGGUCUUGAACUCCUGAGCUCAAGUGAUCCUCUCACCUUGGCUUCCCAAAGUGCUGGGAUUACAGACAAGUCAUGGCAGCUGGCUGAGUACAGUUAUUCAGCAUAAGCAUAACAAAAACAGAAUGGCAGCCCAGUUCCUUUGUUAAUGAAAUAGUAAGGGUGUAACUAGGGCAAGCUGGCCCUGUUUAUGUCACAUGAGUUUGUUUUAGAAAGCAUUCUUGAGAACACAAACAAAACAAAAGAAAAAAUUUUAGAAAUACACUCACAUUUUAAUAUAAAAUGGACUGCGUUUUGUGGCUAUAUGAUAAUUUUCAACAUAAAUCUCCUUAAGAAGGGAGUCACAUGUUCUGGAGAGAUCUAAAUUUAAUACAAUCUCAUAGGGAGCAAAAUAAGGAGUUGCUGUGAUAAACUUUUUGCUUUGCCAGGUAUGGGCUACAAUGAUUGGUUGAAAUCAUCCAAAAAUGAACUAAAAUCACAAAUUCAUUUUCACAGAUUUAUUGUUAGAACUUAUGUUGCUUCCUUAAGAAAACGCAACUAUAUUAACUCUUGGCUAUUGCAGUCAAGAAUAAAACAGUCAAGGGGAAAAAAAACCAGUGGCUAAAUUUAUAAAGUUAUGUGUAUUUGGCUUUGAAAUAUUUUUGGAAUGUGAAACUGGCCUCGCUU
ensembl:lncRNA novel transcript